rnacentral:tRNA from 1 species
AGCGGGGUUGAGCAGCCAGGAGUGCUCGUCGGGCUCAUAACCCGAAGGCCGGUGGUUCAAAUCCACCCCCCGCUA